rnacentral:rRNA from 1 species
AGUGAACGCUGGCGGCGUGCUUAGCACAUGCAAGUCGAACGAGAACGGGUUAUAGCUUGCUAUAAUUGUCAGCUAAGUGGCGCACGGGUGAGUAAUGUAUAGGUAAUAUGCCUCUUACUAAGGGAUAACAAAUGGAAACGUUUGCUAAUACCUUAUACUCCUUAUUAACAUAAGUUAAUAAGGGAAAGAUUGAGUGGUAAGAGAUUAGCCUGUAUUGUAUCAGUUAGUUGGUGGGGUAAUGGCUUACCAAGACUAUGACACAUAACUGGUUUGAGAGGAUGAUCAGUCACACUGGAACUGAGACACGGUCCAGACUCCUACGGGAGGCAGCAGUGGGGAAUAUUGCACAAUGGACGAAAGUCUGAUGCAGCAACGCCGCGUGGAGGAUGACACAUUUCGGUGCGUAAACUCCUUUUAUAUGAGAAGAUAAUGACGGUAUUAUAUGAAUAAGCACCGGCUAACUCCGUGCCAGCAGCCGCCGUAA